ensembl:lncRNA
GGAAGUUCCCUGUACAGUGUGAAGAGCGGUAAGAACAGUCUGCCUCGCGUUGAAGAGGUGGUUUUAUGUCUGUUGCAUUUCCUGGCCAUCAAGCUGUCCAUAUAAUCAAGGAGGACUUUUACAGAAUUGCAGGAAGGAGUGGAGGUGAGGGUGGCACGCAUCUUUAACACCUUUGGCUCCCGGAUGCACAUGAACGAUGACCGCGUGGUCAGAAACUUCAUACUGCAGGCUCUACAGGGAGAGGCCCUCACCGUGUAUGGUAGCGGAUCCCAGGCGAGGCCUUUCCAUGCCAAGCGUCGGCUGGAGUGGUGUAGAGUUUGUCGCCAUUGGACUCUGGAGCAGUGGAAACGCUUUCUCUUGAUGUAACGGCGUUCGUCUGUAGAAGGAGAGUCGGACCAAAAUGCAGCGUGGCCGACAGAUGAAUCUGGGUUUGGCGGAUGCCAGGAGAACGCUACUUGCCCCAAUGGUCCACCCACACAGACAGCG